rnacentral:lncRNA from 1 species
AGUCCUUCGCCGUCCCUCGCCGUCCUUCGCCAUCGCACGCCACCGCACCCCAUCUCUCGAAAUCUGCAGACAUCUUGAUUUUUCCCACGCUGUCUGUCAGGUCUCCGCCGCCACUCGACGCCAGGGCGCCGGGCCUUGUGGGCUGUGCUGCACCUCGGACGGCUUCGCACCAGCCAGCGCCCUCUCUCUCCUGCAGCACUCUGAUCUGCACCCCCUGAGGGGCUUCCACUGUCCGCGGGGUGAGAAUGCCCCUGGGAGUGUCACAUGACUGCCGCCCCAUGUGUGUGAGAGGCGUCCUCUGGGAGAGCAUGGAUCCUGAGGUCCCAGGAUUGUCAGCUGACCUCUGUCCUGUGUGCCCAGUGGCCCCAGGUGACGUGUCUUCAAGAAGAGGCUGAGCUGCGGUGCUUGUAAGAGUCAUGUGCUGUUCCUGGGGCUUGGAUGAUGUAGGGGAAGCAAGGUGAAAGUGGUAUCCCGUGGUUCCACGUUCUGUCCUGCUGUGGGGCUGUCCCUCACAUGCUUUCAGUGGCUGUUGCAGAGGAAGAGCCUCCGGAAAUCUGCGUGGGUAAAGUCUCAGCCUUAGAUCCAAGGACAGUCCAAGGAAGUCCUAAGACCAUGGAGUUGGUGAUCUGGGAUCUGGGUUUGCUGAUAUUUCUCACCGUGAAUCUCUUGGUGGUGUUUGUGGGCACGAGAGGGGCAGAGAAUGGAGAGUGAGGCUACCACAUGAAGCGUCACCAGAGCUGCUCCCUGCUGCCUGCUCAGAGCACCCCGGAUCCACUGUUCAAUCUGCACAAGAUUCGGGGUCCAGACAUGGGAGACUUCAGCUGCCUCAGAGGACCGUGGACAGGGAAGGCCAGCCUCGCAUCCCUCUGUCCAUGCCUGGAAUGACUUUAAUAACCAAGAGUUUUAUUUUUGAAUUUGUAGCUGUCGUUCACUUUUUACCCACCCAUUCAAUAAACCUUACAGAAUUGCUCCA